GCAGGUCUUUCAGCUUCAGAAGCAACAGCAGCAACAGCAGCAACAGCAACAGCAACAGAACCACAACAUGGCUGCUGCCCGAAGUAAAAACCCAAACCCAAACGCAAACCCGCCCUCAGGUAAUGGGGGUGCUGCCUACCCUGACCACCUAAUAACUUCAUCUUCAUCCAUGGCUGCCAAAUUUCCAAACUCUCUUUCUUCUUUCCCACAAAACUUAGUCCAAACCAGCAACACCAGUAGCAGCCCGGUUCAAUCCCCGCAAUGGAGAAACUCAGUAAGGGGUCCCGCCACAUCGUCUCAACCACCAACCACCUCCUCCCUCAAAAACCUCCAUCAAUCCCAACACCAACAGCCUAACCGAUCCUCCCACCCGCAAUCACACACUCAGAUUUCCUUCGGUGGUGCCGCCAGUCAGAAACUACCUUCCACCACCUCAUCACAUCAACAGAAUCCUAGUAGCAAUAGUAAUAAUAACCAGUCACCUUCACCACCAAUGUUGGUUGGCUCUCCGACAACAUCUUCCAUUUCUAAAGGUGGUGGUGGUGGUGGAAGUCCGAGAACAAAUGUAUCGGCUUCCACAAGUGGUAGGACUCCCCAGGCUUCUUCUCUAUCCUCAUCACAACAAGCUAAAAACUCUCCUGCAACGCAAAGAUCUUCACCUUCAAUCCUUGGUAACCCCCAUGUCACAAACUCAGGUUCUAACAAAUCUCAGCAGCAACAACCACAGCAGCUACAGAAGCAAACAUUACAGCAACAGCAACAGCAACAGCAGCAACAUGCCCAAGCCCAAGCGCAAGCGCAAGCCCA
rnacentral:lncRNA from 1 species